rnacentral:rRNA from 1 species
UACGUAGGGUCCGAGCGUUGUCCGGAAUUACUGGGCGUAAAGAGCUCGUAGGUGGUUUGUCGCGUUGUUCGUGAAAACUCACAGCUCAACUGUGGGCGUGCGGGCGAUACGGGCAGACUAGAGUACUGCAGGGGAGACUGGAAUUCCAGGUGUAGCGGUGAAAUGCGUAGAUAUCUGGAGGAACACCGGUGGCGAAGGCGGCAUCCUGGACCGAUAUUGACGCUGAGGCGCGAAAGCCAGGGGAGCAAACGGG